UACGUAGGGUGCGAGCGUUGUCCGGAAUUAUUGGGCGUAAAGGGCUCGUAGGCGGUUUGUCGCGUCGGGAGUGAAAACACUGGGCUUAACUCAGUGCUUGCUUCCGAUACGGGCAGACUAGAGGUAUGCAGGGGAGAACGGAAUUCCUGGUGUAGCGGUGAAAUGCGUAGAUAUCAAGUGGAACACCAGUGGCGAAGGCGAGUCCCUGGACAAUACCUGACACUGAGGCACGAAAGCUAGGGGAGCAAACAGG
rnacentral:rRNA from 1 species